rnacentral:rRNA from 1 species
UACGUAGGGUGCAAGCGUUGUCCGGAAUUAUUGGGCGUAAAGCGUGCGCAGGCGGCUUUGCAAGACAGAUGUGAAAUCCCCGGGCUUAACCUGGGAACUGCAUUUGUGACUGCAUGGCUGGAGUGCGGCAGAGGGGGAUGGAAUUCCAUGUGUAGCAGUGAAAUGCGUAGAUAUGCGGAGGAACACCGAUGGCGAAGGCAAUCCCCUGGACCUGUACUGACGCUCAUGCACGAAAGCGUGGGGAGCAAACAGG